AGCGAACGCUGGCGGCAGGCCUAACACAUGCAAGUCGAACGAACUCUUAGGAGUUAGUGGCGGUCGUGUGAGUAACACGUGGGAACGUGCCUUUUGGUUCGGAAUAACUCAGGGAAACUUGUGCUAAUACCGAAUGUGCCCUUCGGGGGUAAGAUUUAUCGCCAUUGGAUCGGCCCGCGUCUGAUUAGCUAGUUGGUGAUGUAACGGCUAACUAAGGAGUCGAUCAGUAGCUGGUCUGAGAGGAUGACCAGCCACACUGGGACUGAGACACGGCCCAGACUGCGACGGGAGGGAGCAGUGGGGAAUCUUGCGCAAUGGGGGAAAGCCUAACGAAGCCAUGCGGCGUGAAUGAUGAAGGUGUUAGGAUUGUAAAAUUGUUUGAGCGGGGACGAUAAUGACGGUACCCGGAGAAGAAGCCCCGGCUAACUUCGUG
rnacentral:rRNA from 1 species